rnacentral:tRNA from 1 species
GCGGAUGUAGUUCAAUCGCAGAACGGCUGCAGCUGUAUACGAGGGUUCGAUUCCCUUCGCCCGCU